CGGAGGGAUCAUUAAAGAGUUCUAUAACUCCCAAACCCAUGUGAACAUACCUAACGUUGCCUCGGCAGGUCGCACCUACCUUGUAGCACCCUACCCUGUAGGGCCUACCCGGGAGGUGCGGGUAAGCCUGCCGGCGGCCCACCAAACUCUGUUUGAUAUUGAAUUCUGAACCUAUAACUAAAUAAGUUAAAACUUUCAACAACGGAUCUCUUGGUUCUGGCAUCGAUGAAGAACGCAGCGAAAUGCGAUAAGUAAUGUGAAUUGCAGAAUUCAGUGAAUCAUCGAAUCUUUGAACGCAUAUUGCGCCCAUUAGUAUUCUAGUGGGCAGGACCGUUCGAGCGUCAUUUCAACCCUUAAGCCUUCGUUGCUUAGUGUUGGGAGCCUACGGCAACGUAGCUCCUCAAAGUUAGUGGCGGAGUUGGUUCACACUCUAGACGUAGUAAUUUUUUAUCUCGCCUAUUAGUUGGACUAAUCCCCUGCCGUAAAACCCCCAAUUUAUCAAGGUUGACCUCGAAUCGGUUCAGACAAACUCGCUAAAUUGAAGCAUCUUAGUCAGCGAAGGAAAAGAAACCAACAGGGAUUGCCCUAGUAACGGCGAGUGAAGCGGCAAC
rnacentral:rRNA from 1 species